GCUGCCUCGCUAAACGAUGCACACCUGUAACUCACGUGACCCUGAUUAUUAUUGAAAUGAGAACGAGGGCAUGGCUUCAUUUGCAAAGGUGGUUGUGUGUGUCCUCAUUGCUUGUGUCUGUAAUGCAUUCUGUUUUCCGAAGAGAGAUGUGAACUUUAAGGCCUCUGCAGUUGACCGCCAAAGUGAUGAUGUGGUUGUCACCACAACACCCGUUCCCCACAACCAGACCACAUCUGCCCAUACUGAAGCUGGUAGUGGUGCAAGUGAAGAUGCUGUGGCUACAACCCCAGCACCUAAUCCACACAACCAGACAACUUCUGAAGUUACUGAUGGAGCCAGUGAAGAUGCUGUGGACCGCCAAAGUGAUGAUGUGGUUGUCGCCACAACACCCGAUCCCCACAACCAGACACAACAAUCAAUCCAGACACAACAAUCUGUCCAUACUGAAGCUGGUGGUGGUGCAAGUGAAGAUGCUGUGGCUACUACCCCAGCACCUAAUCCACACAACCAGACAACUUCUGCACAAGCUGAAGUUACUGAUGGAGCCAGUGAAGAUGCUGUGGACUGCCAAAGUGAUGUGGUUGUCGCCACAACACCCAAUCCCCACAACCAGACCACACCCGCCAAUACUGAAGCUGGUGAUGGAGCAAGUGAAGAUGCUCUGGAUACCACCCCAACACCAAAUCCCCCAACUACAUCUGACCACACUGCAGCUACCGAUGAUGCAAGUGAGGGUGCUGUGGCUGCCCAAACUGGAACUACUUUAUCCCAUAUGACUGAUGUCUGAUUCGACUGCUCCUCUGGUCACAAUGACCUGAGUCACUGUCUGGACUUUUUGCCUCUACAUGUUGACUGCAAUAAAGGACAGAUUUAUUUUCA
rnacentral:lncRNA from 1 species